CAACGACAGCGGCGCGUGCGUGCCGCUGUGCCCGCAGCCCCUGAUCUACAACAAGCUGACCUUCCAGCUGGAGCCCAACCCCGACACCAAGUACCAGUACGGGGGGGUCUGCGUGCGCCAGUGCCCCCACAACUUCGUGGUGGACCAGAGCUCGUGCGUGCGCGCCUGCCCCAACGACAAGAUGGAGGUGGAGAAGAACGGGCUGAAGAUCUGCGAGCCCUGCGCGGGGCUGUGCCCCAAGGCCUGCGAGGGCACCGGCGCCGGCAGCAAGUACCAGACCGUGGACUCCAGCAACAUCGACACCUUCAUCAACUGCACCAAGAUCCUGGGCAACCUCGACUUCCUCAUCACGGGCCUCGAGGGGUGAGGGGUGG